rfam:Oblitimonas alkaliphila strain E5571 chromosome.
ACUCUUGCGCCCUUUCUUGGCUUCCGGGGCUCAGGUAGCUGUCAAUUGGAGUUUCACUGAAUGGCCCGUAUUGCAGGCGUUAACAUUCCGGAU